rnacentral:misc_RNA from 1 species
GAUGAAGAACGUAGCGAAAUGCGAUAAGUAGUGUGAAUUGCAGAAUUCAGUGAAUCAUCGAAUCUUUGAACGCACAUUGCGCCCCUUGGUAUUCCAUGGGGCAUGCCUGUUCGAGCGUCAUUUGUACCCUCAAGCUAUGCUUGGUGUUGGGUGUUUGUCCUCUCCUUUUGCGAUUGCACUCGCCUUAAAGACAUUGGCAGCCAGUGUAUUGGUCUUGAAGCGCAGCACAUUUUGCGAUUCUUGCUGAUAAUCACUAGCGUCCAGUAAGCCUAUUUUAACACUUUUGACCUCGGAUCAGGUAGGGAUACCCGCUGAACUUAAGCAUAUCAAUAAGCGGAGGA